GUAAAGUUUUAUUUUUUACUUUUGGUAUUCCCUCCAUAUUCUAAUUUUCCUCUAAAUUCUCUCCCGCAAAAAUGCUAUACCCUGUCAUACCUAGAAAUUAGAUUAAAGAAAACAAUUCAUAUUGCCACCAUCACUUUGCUCUCUAAAUCAAAUUUUCGGCCACCAUCACUUUGCUUUCUAAAUCUCCAUCGGCAACCAAAUUUCUGGCCACCAUCAAAAUUCUUGGUUUCGAGAUUGUUGCUGAAAUUGUUCUUCUCCUUCACUUUUUUAUCUUCAUCAUCAAAGUAUUUUGCUUACCAGAUGUUGGAUGUUGAUGUUGCUGUAUACGGCGGGAGCUGGAUUUGAAGAUGUG